rnacentral:rRNA from 1 species
AUGGAAAAAAUGAAGGACGCGCCGGUACCAGAAGGUGAAGAGCCAAAGUCUGUUGUUGAAAUUGUCGAAGAAGUGCUCAAGACCGAAGUCAAGCAAAGCACAUUCCUCAGGAAUGUUGGACUCCAGUCAUCUAGGAACAAGUCCGGCAAAGCAACUACUGAAGUGGCUGCUCAUGUUCGUGACCUUGAGCAGAAGCUGGAGAGGUCCGAGCUUCAAGCUGAAGUGAUGCAAGAAGAAUUGGAGGCAAUCAAGAUGAAGGCGGAAGAAUCUGAAGCUGCACGUGACAAGUAA